AAACUGCGAAUGGCUCAUUAUAUAAGUUAUCGUUUAUUUGAUAAUACCUUACUACUUGGAUAACCGUGGUAAUUCUAGAGCUAAUACAUGCUAAAAAUCCCGACUUCGGAAGGGUUGUAUUUAUUAGAUUAAAAACCAAUGNCCUCUNGGGCUCUCUGGUGAAUCAUGAUAACUAGUCGAAUCGACAGGCCUUGUGCCGGCGAUGGCUCAUUCAAAUUUCUUCCCUAUCAACUUUCGAUGUUUGGGUAUUGGCCAAACAUGGUGGCAACGGGUAACGGAGGGUUAGGGCUCGACCCCGGAGAAGGAGCCUGAGAAACGGCUACUACAUCCAAGGAAGGCAGCAGGCGCGCAAAUUACCCAAUCCCGACACGGGGAGGUAGUGACAAUAAAUACUGAUACAGGGCUCUUUCGGGUCUUGUAAUCGGAAUGAGUACAAUUUAAAUCCCUUAACGAGGAACAAUUGGNGGGCAAGUCUGGUGCCAGCAGCCGCGGUAAUUCCAGCUCCAAUAGCGUAUAUUAAAGUUGUUGUGGUUAAAAAGCUCGUAGUUGAACCUUGGGCCUGGCUGGCCGGUCCGCCUCACCGCGUGUACUGGUCCGGCCGGGCCUUUCCCUCUGUGGAACCCCAUGCCCUUCACUGGGUGUGGCGGGGAAACAGGACUUUUACUUUGAAAAAAUUAGAGUGCUCAAGGCAGGCCUAUGCUCGAAUACAUUAGCAUGGAAUAAUAAAAUAGGACGUGUGGUUCUAUUUUGUUGGUUUCUAGGACCGCCGUAAUGAUUAAUAGGGACAGUCGGGGGCAUCAGUAUUCAAUUGUCAGAGGUGAAAUUCUUGGAUUUAUUGAAGACUAACUACUGCGAAAGCAUUUGCCAAGGAUGUUUUCAUUAAUCAGGAACGAAAGUUAGGGGAUCGAAGACGAUCAGAUACNGUCGUAGUCUUAACCAUAAACUAUGCCGACUAGGGAUCGGACGAUGUUANAUUUUGACGCGUUCGGCAC
rnacentral:rRNA from 1 species